AAUCGGAAUUACUGGGCGUAAAGCGCAUGCAGGUGGUUUGUUAAGUCAGAUGUGAAAGCCCCGGGGCUCAACCUCGGAAUUGCAUUUGAAACUGGCAAACUAGAGUACUGUAGAGGGGGGUAGAAUUUCAGGUGUAGCGGUGAAAUGCGUAGAGAUCUGAAGGAAUACCGGUGGCGAAGGCGGCCCCCCAGGACAGAUACUGACACUCAGAUGCGAAAGCGUGGGGAGCAAACAGGAUUAGAUACCCUGGUAG
rnacentral:rRNA from 1 species